UGUGCAUGAAGACAUUGGGGUUCCAGGUCAGCUUUCAAAUCUCCUAUGUGUAGUGGCCUGACAUAAACGUUCGUUCCUGUGGUCGGGGACGCCUGCCCCACCCCUAAUGAAAUAUAGAACUUGUCUGGACCUCUCUUCUGAAAUUCGGAUGCAUUUGUC